rnacentral:rRNA from 1 species
CAACGUGAGCAACCUGCCUUUCAGAGGGGGAUAACAGUUGGAAACGACUGCUAAUACCGCAUAACGCUGCGAUGGGGGCAUCCCGAUGCAGCCAAAGGAGCAAUCCGCUGGAAGAUGGGCUCGCGGCCGAUUAGCUAGUUGGUGGGGCAACGGCCCACCAAGGCGACGAUCGGUAGCCGGACUGAGAGGUUGAUCGGCCACAUUGGGACUGAGACGCGGCCCAGACUCCUACGGAAGGCAGCAG